GGCUCUGUGUCGCAAUGGAUAGCGCACUGGACUUCUAAUUCAGAGGUUGUGGGUUCAAAUCCCACCAGAGUCG